GGUCACCCGUUUACUAGGAUCUUCAUUCGCAGGGGCAACCUGAUGCACAUUUGCCCUUGCAUUUAAUUCAAACAGUACAUAAGAUGUCAUCGUAAGGUCAAGCAAUGACCCAACGUGGCUAAAACAGCACAUAAAAUGAUGAUAGAAAAAUAAAAGGGCAACUAAAAAAUGAAUGAUCCGCAUGGUCAUAGAAACAUCAGAUAACAUCCAUGCGCACAGAUGAAUUGCUUGACCAAUGACUACUUAAUGAACAUGGCUAGAAUUGAAAAACAAGUCCACACAGACUCUCUCUAGUAUUGUGUAAUUGCUAAAUCUUGACUCGAAAAUAAAAAUUAAUCUGAAAAUGGACAACAUAGUGCACACGAACCUUAAAGCGAGAAGUUCAAAAGGGCUACAACCUAAGGUUUCAGGGUCAUAAUUUUAAAUUCACGAUGCAAUGCAAAAGCUUAAAAGCAGCUCCAGAGUUGACAUUCAGACAUAGAGCUGAGAACACGUCUUCGGAACAAUGAUGCCAUAAGGCCUUCACUCGUAUAGGAAGAAAUCACAUUACCACAAAGGGCUGUCAAAGCACACAGAAUUAUGGUGUGAACUAUUUUUUAUUUCCCCUCUUUGAUUAACCAGCAAGUACCAUACAAAAGUAAAAAACUAUCAACUAGUUACACACUACAUACGAUAUACAGUAUCAAAAGCUGCACCUAAGUUGGACACCAAAGCCUCAUUGCUGAACACCCCGACUACCCAAAUCAGCAGCAACUUUGGCUGCCCGAUUCAAAGCAUCCGACAUCCAAAGAGCUCCCUUAGAGAAGUAGCUACUGUUUACCACAGUGUUUGCUGCUGCUGCUGCAGCUGUUCUUCCUGUUGCUGAUGCAGCUGAUUUGGUCAUACCAGAGGCAUGGUACUUCUGACCCAAAGCUUUGACAGCUCCCAUGCCAGCGAAAAUUUUAUCAGCAAGGCCAACUCUAUCAGUCAGCUCAGCAACCUUAGCUGCUCAGUUGCAGUAACUUGAUGAGAUUCACCAUGCACUUUUGCCUUGCUUACUGCUUUUCCCGACACAUAUCCCGUGGCCAGCAUAGCUUUGAUCAGUUACUGCUCCUCCAGCACUAGGAACAUACCUUCUUUGUGAGGGCUGCUUCAGAAUGAAAGAUUAAUCAACUUAAGAAAAAUAUAGAAUAAAUAAAUCUACUUGUUCAUGUGGAUCAUAUUAUAACAACAACAUAGACAUAGCAGGCAUACAGUUGAUUCAGUUCCAUUUUCUACCCUUGAUGAAGGCCUUUUUCAAAAAUUAAAUUCAUCUACAUAGUUCUCCCAGUGGGUUAUGCAUUCGUGUUGAUCCAUGAUUGUAGCACCCUAAGAUAUAAUAAGAAUAGGAAGAGUACACAGGCAAACAAAUCAUUAGUUAGUCACAACUAUCAGCAAAGGGGCAAAAUAAAAUUAAAGACCACUUGGUUAUCUAAUGCAGUCAUCACAAGGAUAAACGGGACAAAUGAAAAUCAAACUAGAAUUGGACCUCCACAUUUUGAUGAAAAAACUAAUCUAGAGAAUCCUCUAUGAUAGUAAAUCCAUAUUAGAUGACAACAAAUACUACAGGAAAAAACCAAGAAACUCUGAUGCUUUAACAAAAUGACCUAUUACGAUGUUGACAAGAGAGAAAGUGCCAGAUCAAAAGAUCCAUACAUGAAACAGCAACUCCGUUUUAUUAGUUAAGUUGCAUAAAAUUAACAGAUAGCACUAAAUUCUGACAAAUUGGAGAACAAUAAUGCUAAAACUGUUUAUAUCAUUUAAAAAAAAUUUGGUAACCAGCAAUGAUUAUUGAGCCAAUACUCACACUAAGACAACAGUCUCUUAACCAUAGUCAUAUUAGAAUGUCACGUAACAUGACAGGUAAAUUCACUGGAUUUGUUUCAUCUACACAGCCGAAUUUUCCUAUAUCGGCAAAUGCAAGCUACUAAUUGAUUGAUUGAAAAAAAAUGACAUACUUGACAAUCUCAACAUGUUCAAUUGUACCUGAGAAGGAGAAAAAGAAUUGUAGAGAUCCUUCUCAGUAACUUUGAGAGAGAGGCCUGUAACUUUUACAGUAUACCCACCUUCUUAGUAACUAUCUACAUAUACCCACCUUCAUUUAUGAUCCUAAAACCUGAAGAAAUUAAAACUAGAAUUCACAACCUCAACUAUAGUUUCAGGGAUUACAACACCAAUCCUCUUUAUCUGUACAAUUCAUUUCAAGCUCACAAUAAGAACAAUCAUAUGAGAAGUUCAUAUAUCUGUUUAUUUACCAUGAAAAGAACAGAGAACAAGGUAUAAAGCAGAGAGCAUGGUUUUAAAUCACGGUUGCGGCCACGUUCGCGAUCACGGUUGCAAGUAAUGCAAAUGAGCCAAGAUUUGAAGGAUGGCAUUCUUCCAAAUCAUCAAGGCACCCUUGAGUUUCUAGCUUCUCAUCAUAGAACAAAUGCUUUUCUUCAACAUCAACCACCUCUUCAUUUGUAUCUUGAAUCUAUAGCCACUCAAUGUUCCGUUUAUCCUCUUCGUUAUUAAUGAUGGUCACAAAUAAUGGUGCAUUGUCACAUUUGUAGCUCAAUAAAUAGGCCUCUUUAAACCAUAAACACAGACCUUGCUCUCCUAUCAUUAAAUUCUGAUAAGGUUUUGAGACUGAGAGGAAUAUAAUCCAUGGUUGUGGAGGGAAUAUCAGCUAAUCAAAGGAUGAGAUCAAGAAAAUCAGGCAUUGGGAGGAGAACGAAGACUUCCAGAAUCAAGAAUGGAAAUUUUAAAGUCUUGGAAGCUUAUAAUCUCAGAUGCACCCAUUAUAAUGUUUGAGGAAAUUCUUCGAAUGAUUUCUGGGAUUGAAUAUGUGAAUUUAAAAUAAAUUGUGAAGAAUUUGUGAUAAUCGAGUUAGAUUAAAGAUAGGAUCUUGAAUUUGAGGGUUUAGAAAAGAAUUAGUAUAAAGAUGGAUCAAAACUGCUGUUCGUUUACCAAGAAAACAACAGAAGAAGGGGUUAGAAAACAGAGAGAGAAAGAAGACAUAAUUUGAGAGAGAAUCAAGAAGAAGUCUCCUACAUCACAAGCGUAGAUUCACUUAUAUGCUCCUGUUAAUUAGCUAACAGCUAGAAUAGAACUACAACGUUCCAAUUUCCCGUAAAUCAUAGUACUAUUACAAACCGAAUCAAAUAACAUUUAAAAAUUCUGCAUGCAUUACCAGUUAUUAGAUGAAAACUAGAAGUUCUUGUGGACUAGUGAUCAAAACUUCAAUACACCUUAAUUCAUCUAAAAUUAACCCUAAACUCAGGUGCUUUAUCACUAAAUUCAAGUGAUUCGAUGAUAACAAAUUAAGCAACAGCAAUUUUAGAAAAUUAGUAGAAUUCAAUCACCUGUUUAGGAUCAGAGGAAAGACGAAUUGAAGAAGCCUGAGCACUUUGAAUCGAGAGACGGAGAGAAAAAUAGAAGCUUCAAGAUGAGAUCAUUACACAGAAACACAUUACCUUCUCCACUGUGUCCUGAGGCACGUGCAAAUCGCAUGACAUGGCUGACUCAUGAAUCAUGACUGGCUUGGCCGGUGA
rnacentral:misc_RNA from 1 species